rnacentral:antisense_RNA from 1 species
CAGAUUUGGUUACUGCGCUCCGUUAAAGCCAGUUACCACGGUUCAGAAGUUCCCCAACUUACUGAACCUUGAAAAACCGCCUCCCCAGGCGGUUUUUCUU